GCAGUAUUUUGUAAUUCUGUAAUUUGUAAAGAUCUUUUAUCUCCCUGGUUAGCUGUAUUCUUAGAUAUUUUAUUCGGUUUGUGGCUGUUGUGAAUGGGAUUGGUUUGGCCUUCAGCUUGAAUGUUCUUGGUCUAUAGAAAUGCAACUAAUUUUUGUGCGUUAAUUUAUAACAGGCAGUUUUAUUGUGAACAAGCUCUAAGGAAAACAUCCAUUAUAAUCUAUCAAUCUCUUUAAAGAUUUGGUCAGAGAUAGACAAGUAAUCUUUCCUCUGUGAAAUCUCCAGGACCUUAAAUAAUGUAAUUAGAGUGAAUUUUUAUUAUGUUAUUUGAUAUCUAUCUAUCUUGUUACAUUUAACCAUUAACUUUAAAUAGCUCCAGAUUUUUCUUGUUUGUUUGACUGGACUUAUUUCCACUGACCACAGGAGGGUGUUGGUGAGCUUAGAACAGGAGUAUUUCAAAUAAAUAUUAGAACUUCAACAACUAAUGACACAUCCUUAUCAUUUCACUAUCUUUGGAAGUUAUAAUUUAAAAGCAUAGCCACUAGGCUAGCCAGAAAUCUUGAGUCAAUGCCAUUUCUAUUAGACGAUCUUUUGGCUAUCAAGUAAAAGGCUUUUAUGAAAGAAUUCAGAAAGUUUACUGAGGUAUUGUAGCACAGAGAAAUUUCCUCUGACUAAAAAUUAAGAAAUCCAAAUCUUCUUCCUGGUUCCACCACUAGUGUGUGGCUUUAAGUAGUCACUUCACCUCUCUGGGCCUUAAUUUCUUUUUUUAUAAAAUGAGGUAGAUUGUAAGCUGAUCCUUCAGGUCCUUCCACAAAAGGCAACAAUGAAUAGAGGGUCUAAAAGUAAAACAUACACAUCAAAGAACUUCUCCAUCCUAGUGAUUCUUUUUUUAAUUAACUGCUAAGCAUGUGCUAGCUGCUUCUAAUACAUUCUCUCACAUGAUCAUUACAACCACCAUUCAGGUGUAUAUAUAAUUGCUCCCAUUCUGAGGUUAGGGGUAAAUAAUUUGCCCAGGCUCAUUCUGCUAGCAAAGAACAAAACUGAGAUUUCAGCCUAGGUUUCUCUAACUCAGAAGCCUAUGUUUGUAUUCCUCUUCCCCACGUGGCUUCCCUAGGACCAAAAGAUUAGUUUUAAUGGAAGUUGUGCCCUUAGAGAAGAAAACAGAUGUCUCUGCCUAGCAGAAUUUAGACUAAAUUCUUAUCGGUUUCAGAUAAGCAAUGUGGUUGGGGACACAGGCCAGCAGGAUCUCAGGUGAACAGGAAGUGGUGCCCCAUGUAGGAAGGCAGUCACUACCUAGCUGUUGCCAUGUGAGAAUAUGGCCCGUUUGGCCUUAUCCUCCCAUUUUCAAGAGAAGACCAAAAUCUAGAUUUUUAACUGAAAUCUCAUUAAUUUGAAAUUUUAGCAGUAAAUUCAGAAUUUUUCACAUUGUGAGUAAUGACAGUACACACAUUUGUGGGAUGGCAGGAUCCAGAGAGAUCUCAUUUCUCUCACCAGGGUCGGAGCAGGGUUGAGAAAUGAAGUGCCAUUCUCUUCCAGGCUUUUCUUGAGUUGCUAAAUGUACUUACAUGCUCUGUAAGACUACCUUAGGUUCCUGAAGCAAUUAAAACAGGGACUGGCAAAUUGCACCAUCUCUUUUUGUAAGGCACGCAAGCUAAGAUAAAAAAAAAAAAAAAAAAAAAAAAACAAAUUUAAUAGUU